rnacentral:rRNA from 1 species
CCAAUAGCGUAUAUUAAAGUUGUUGCAGUUAAAAAGCUCGUAGUUGAAUUUCGGGGUCAGCAGGUUGGUCGUGCCUCUGGUACGCACUGGUUCCGCUGAUUCCUCCUUUCUGAAGAACUGUAAUGUCAUUAAUUUGGUGUUGCAGGGAAACAGGACUGUUACUUUGAAAAAAUUAGAGUGUUUAAAGCAAGCUAACGCUUGAAUACAUUAGCAUGGAAUAAUGAAAUAGGACGUUUGAUCCUAUUUUGUUGGUUUCUAGGAUUGACGUAAUGAUUAGUAGGGAUAGUUGGGGGCAUUAGUAUUCAAUUGUCAGAGGUGAAAUUCUUGGAUUUAUUGAAGACUAACUACUGAGAAAGCAUUUGCCAAGGAUGUUUUCAUUAAUCAAGAACGAAAGUUAGGGGAUCGAAGACGAUCAGAUACCGUCGUAGUCUUAACCAUAAACUAUGCCGACUAGGGAUCGGAUGAUGUUAAUUUUUUAAUGACUCAUUCGGCGCCUUACG